rnacentral:rRNA from 1 species
UACGAAGGGGGCUAGCGUUGUUCGGAAUCACUGGGCGUAAAGGGCGCGUAGGCGGCCUGAUAAGUCGGGGGUGAAAGCCCGUGGCUCAACCACAGAAUUGCCUUCGAUACUGUUAGGCUUGAGACCGGAAGAGGUAAGUGGAACUGCGAGUGUAGAGGUGAAAUUCGUAGAUAUUCGCAAGAACACCAGUGGCGAAGGCGGCUCACUGGCCCGAUACUGACGCUGAGGCACGAAAGCGUGGGGAGCAAACAGG